rnacentral:rRNA from 1 species
GUGGGGAAUAUUGCACAAUGGGCGAAAGCCUGAUGCAGCGACGCCGCGUGAGGGAUGACGGCCUUCGGGUUGUAAACCUCUUUCAGCAGGGAAGAAGCGAAAGUGACGGUACCUGCAGAAGAAGCACCGGCUAACUACGUGCCAGCAGCCGCGGUAAUACGUAGGGUGCGAGCGUUGUCCGGAAUUAUUGGGCGUAAAGAGCUUGUAGGCGGUUUGUCGCGUCUGCUGUGAAAAUCCGGGACUCAAUUCCGGACUUGCAGUGGGUACGGGCAGACUAGAGUACGGUAGGGGAGACUGGAAUUCCUGGUGUAGCGGUGAAAUGCGCAGAUAUCAGGAGGAACACCGAUGGCGAAGGCAGGUCUCUGGGCCGUAACUGACGCUGAGAAGCGAAAGCAUGGGGAGCGAACAGGAUUAGAUACCCUAGUAGUCC